rnacentral:lncRNA from 1 species
UUCCUUGAUGCUCGAGUGUUUGUCUUGUUUGAUCAUGUUCGGGUAGUCGUCUACGAAUUUCUGGUUUUGUAUGUAGGUGUUUGGGUUAGCUAUGGGUUUCUGUGGGGUGGGUAAAUAGUAUGGGAGUUCAUAGAUUUGUGUUAUUAAUUAGUUUGGGAUGCUACAAAAUAUGUGUAAAGGCAUGCUCACAUGAAUUAGAUUUGACUACCCUGAUAGAGCAAAGGCUUUUAAUAGUAGAUAUUAUCCAUUUUCUUAUAUCUCUGCACAUGCUCGAACAUGACAAAUUAAUCCUUUUGAAUGUUGGCUGCUUAUAAGACCAAAUGUAUGCUUUAUUAAUGAAAUAAGAUCCCAACAGAAAAAAGAGUAUGAAAGAAGAAAAAAAA